rnacentral:rRNA from 1 species
GCAAGUCGAACGAGAUCUUCGGAUCUAGUGGCAGACGGGUGCGUAACGCGUGGGAACCUGCCCUUUAGUAAGGAAUAACUUUAGGAAACUGAAGCUAAUACCUUAUAAUCCCCUCGGGGGAAAGCUUUAUGCGCUAAUGGAUGGGCCCGCGUUAGAUUAGCUUGUUGGUGAGGUAAAGGCUCACCAAGGCUACGAUCUAUAGCUGGUCUGAGAGGAUGAUCAGCCACACUGGGACUGAGACACGGCCCAGACUCCUACGGGAGGCAGCAGUGGGGAAUAUUGGACAAUGGGGGCAACCCUGAUCCAGCGAUGCCGCGUGAGUGAUGAAGGCCCUAGGGUUGUAAAACUCUUUCGCCAGGGAAGAUAAUGACGGUACCUGGUAAAGAAGAUCCGGCUAACUCCGUGCCAGCAGCCGCGGUAAUACGGAGGGAUCUAGCGUUAUUCGGAAUAACUGGGCGUAAAGCGAGCGUAGGCGGAUUUGUAAGUUGGAGGUGAAAUCCCAGGGCUUAACCCUGGAACUGCCUUCAAAACUACAUUUCUUGAGUUUGGUAGAGGAGAGUGGAAUUCCUAGUGUAGAGGUGAAAUUCGUAGAUAUUAGGAGGAACACCAGUGGCGAAGGCGACUCUCUGGGCCAAUACUGACGCUGAGGUUCGAAAGCGUGGGUAGCGAACAGGAUUAGAUACCCUGGUAGUCCACGCAGUAAACGAUGAGUGCUAGAUGUUGGGAACAUUAGUUUUCAGUAUCGCAGCUAACGCGUUAAGCACUCCGCCUGGGAAG